rnacentral:lncRNA from 1 species
CGACGGCGGGGUAAGGGUGAGGUAGUGGAAAAUUGGAAACGCCUUAGAAAGUACUGUACUGAGGAGGUUUAAAGGAUUGAGAUUGCGACAUCGGCGAAGGUGGGUGUCCGGAGGAGGAUUUGAGUUUGUUGUGUUCGGGCAUGAUGGUUUGUUUAGUGCAAGCUGGGGUUAUGAGGGAUGAACAAAGCCACUAACCAAUAUGAAGAUAGGAAUGAAUCCAACAUUGUUUGAUUUGUUAAUGGGUGUGAAUUCAUAGAGGGGUUUAGUUCUUUAGAGAAGAUGCGAGAGUGAGAGAGAAGAAUGACGGAAAUUGGAAUGAUGUUAGAGAGAGAAACUAUGAAAUAUAACUAUGGAGUUAGGAGCCGUAUGCAACACUGUUUUUUUUUUUUUUAAGAUGGUUAGACAAAUGUUGGAAACAGUGAUAUGAGAGAUGAUUGGAUAGUUUGAAAACCAUAUUUAGUUCACAUAAACAUGUGGAAGGUCAAGUUUAAUGAUGGUUGAGUUUGAAAUUCAAAUAAGAGAUUAUAUUAAGAGGGAUUAGUGGGUAGUUAGGAGUUGAGUAUGCAUUUAAUGCUUGUUAAGGAGGGAAAUUUUGAAGUAAUUAGGGCAAACAUGCCAGCGUGGCAAGUGUGACUUUUAUAAUAAAGGAUAUGUCUUCACUUGUACAAUUUAUGUAUAAAUGACAUUACGAUUUAUCAUAAAUCUAAUAAACGUUAUGUUCAACGUCUUUACAAGUAAAUCAUCGCAGAAAGAUUCAUUUGUAUAAAAACAAGCAAACUUAUUCACAUAACAUGUUACACUAAGAUUUAUAGUGGAGAUAAUUUUUGUAUGAAAUUUUGUCUAAAUAAAUUCCCCUAAGGCUGAAAAAUCAGAAUUCUAU